UGGGGAAUUUUGCGCAAUGGGCGCAAGCCUGACGCAGCGACGCCGCGUGUACGAUGAAGGCCUUUGGGUCGUAAAGUACUGUCAACGGGGACGAACGCCGCCUUCUGAAUAGGAAGGGGGUCUGACGGUACCCGUGGAGGAAGCACCGGCUAACUCUGUGCCAGCAGCCGCGGUAAUACAGAGGGUGCAAACGUUGCUCGGAAUGACUGGGCGUAAAGCGCGCGCAGGCGGUCCGCUAAGUCGACUGUGAAAUCCCAUGGCUCAACCAUGGACGUGCAGUCGAUACUGGCGGCCUCGAGUCCCGGAGAGGGUGGUAGAAUUCCCAGUGUAGAGGUGAAAUUCGUAGAUAUUGGGAGGAAUACCGGUGGCGAAGGCGACCACCUGGACGGGUACUGACGCUGAGGCGCGAAAGCGUGGGGAGCAAACAGGAUUAGAUACCCCCGUAGUCC
rnacentral:rRNA from 1 species